AGUGAACGCUGGCGGUAGGCCUAACACAUGCAAGUCGAACGGCAGCACAGUAAGAGCUUGCUCUUACGGGUGGCGAGUGGCGGACGGGUGAGGAAUACAGCGGAAUCUACUUUUUCGGGGGGGAUAACGUAGGGAAACUUACGCUAAUACCGCAUACGACCUACGGGUGAAAGCAGGGGAUCUUCGGACCUUGCGCGAUUGAAUGAGCCGAUGUCGGAUUAGCUAGUUGGCGGGGUAAAGGCCCACCAAGGCGACGAUCCGUAGCUGGUCUGAGAGGAUGAUCAGCCACACUGGAACUGAGACACGCUCCAGACUCCUACGGGAGGCAGCAGUGGGGAAUAUUGGACAAUGGGCGCAAGCCUGAUCCAGCCAUACCGCGUGGGUGAAGAAGGCCUUCGGGUUGUAAAGCCCUUUUGUUGGGAAAGAAAAGCAGCAGGUUAAUACCCCGCUGUUCUGACGGUACCCAAAGAAUAAGCACCGGCUAACUUCGUG
rnacentral:rRNA from 1 species